AGGAUCUACAUUAAAUGGUUCUGUGUAUGUCUGUAACUUGCCCCUUGGUACAGAUGAAGAUAUGCUAGCUGAAUAUUUUGGCACAAUAGGGGUGCUAAAGAAAGACAAACGAAGCGGUAGGCCCAAGAUAUGGUUAUACCGUGAUAAAGUUACUAAUGAGCCCAAAGGCGAUGCCACAGUCACAUAUGAAGACCCUCAUGCUGCAUUAGCUGCUGUUGAAUGGUUCAAUAACAAGGAUUUUCAUGGGUCAAUGAUUGGGGUAUUUAUUGCAGAGUCUAAGAACAAAGACGAGGCUUCCUAUGUUUCAGUGAAUCAAAUUAGUGAGCCCAAUCUGAACAGUGGUCUGGCUGUGCUGGAUGAAGGCUCCAACGAUAUAGAUGGAGGUGGCGGAAGAGGUAGGGGCAGGGGAGAUGCUUCUGCAAAGGCAUGGCAACAAGAUGGUGACUGGCUGUGUCCAAAUACAAGUUGCACUAAUGUGAACUUUGCAUUUCGUGGAGUUUGCAACCGCUGUGGAACUGCUCGGCCUGCUGGUGCUGGUGGCGGUGGGGCUGGAGCUGCUGGUCGCGGGAGAGGACGUGGUAGCCAGGACCCAGGCGCUCCUGGUCGUGCAGUUGGUGGUCCUCCAGGCCUCUUUGGUCCAAAUGAUUGGGCUUGUCCGAUGUGUGCCAACAUUAACUGGGCUAAGAGGAACAAGUGUAACAUAUGCAACACCAACAAGCCUGGGCACAAUGAGGGUGGUGUGAGA
rnacentral:misc_RNA from 1 species